AUUGUAAAAUACUCUAAGUAUUGAGAAGAGUGGCAGUUGAGUUUCAUGUAUGUUCUUCUCACGAGCUCAACUUUUAACGAACAUAAUAUGAGAUGACAACAGAACGAUAAGAUAAAUCAAGACACAGACAGGGAUAUAAUAAUGAAUAAAGAUACAAGGUUUAAGGUCAUAGUGCCAGUGUUUCUAUACCUGCCAGUUAUGUUACCGAUACAAGAGGGCGUCCUUCAGCACCAUAAGGGUGCAAUAUAAUGAUGCAUAUCGCAUUCUUAUGAAGUUUCCGAAGUACUGCAGCGCGUCGAGCAUGUUCGCCAAGCCGUGAAUGCCCGAUUCCUUUGCUGUUAUCACAGCUCUUAUAUCUUCCUUCUGGGAAAGAUUGCGUAGCUCUGGUAACAACAUCUUCCAGGUGGUGGGCCAGGACCUGCGUAGUCCAAUUAUAGCUCAUUGGCUCUCGACACAUCGAGAAGUAAAUAGAAAAUAGCUUUGCACACAAAGCUGUUUUCUUUUUGCUUUUUUCUGAUUGAAUUAAAUAAUUGUAUAACUGUAUUGUAUACUAUUUUAUUUGUACGGCUAAAUAUUGUGGUAUGGGAUUGUAUGCCUGCAAUAAAGAUUUGUAUUAU